rnacentral:rRNA from 1 species
AAUCAACGCUGGCGGCGUGCCUCAGACAUGCAAGUCGAACGCGAAAGUUUCCUUCGGGAGACAAGUAGAGUGGCAAACGGGUGCGUAACACGUAGGUAAUCUUCCUUUGAGUUGGGGAUAAACCCUCGAAAGGGGUCGUAUACCGAAUAACACUUCGGGCCGGGCAUCGGCCUGAAAUUAAAGAAUGGCCUCUGCUUGCAAGCUAUCGCUCAAAGAAUGAGCCUGCGGCCGAUUAGUUAGNGGUCGGGAUAAAAGACCCACCAAGACUUCGAUCGGUAGCCGGUCUGAGAGGAUGUCCGGCCACACUGGGACUGAGAUACGGCCCAGACUCCCUACGGGAGGCAGCAGUAGGGAAUAUUGCGCAAUGGCCGCAAGGCU